UACAGAGGGUGCGAGCGUUGUCCGGAAUCACUGGGCGUAAAGGGCGCGUAGGCGGCCCGGUAAGGUUGCGGUGAAAGCCCGGGGCUCAACCCCGGGUCGGCCGUGGCAACUGCUGGGCUGGAGCACAGUAGAGGCGGGUGGAAUUCCGGGUGUAGCGGUGAAAUGCGUAGAUAUCAGGAGGAACACCUGUGGUGUAGACAGCUUACUGGACCAUUUCUGACGCUGAGACACGAAAGCGUGGGUAGCAAACAGG
rnacentral:rRNA from 1 species